rnacentral:misc_RNA from 1 species
AAGUCGUAACAAGGUUUCCGUAGGUGAACCUGCGGAAGGAUCAUUACAUUCAGUAGCUUGCUACUGUUAGGGGGGUCGAUCAGCCUGUAUAGUAUCACUACUGAUGAGCAGCACAACCCCCUGUCUGUACCCUUGUCUUUUGCGCACUCAUGUUUCCUCGGCGGGUCUAUGCCCGCCGGCUGGACAACUCUAUAACCUUUUUAAUUUUCAAUCAGCGUCUGAAAAACCUAAUAAUUACAACUUUCAACAACGGAUCUCUUGGUUCUG